rnacentral:rRNA from 1 species
AUAACGUAGCGAAAGCUACGCUUAAUACCGCAUACGAUCUACGGAUGAAAGCGGGGAUCGCAAGACCUCGCGCGAUUGGAGCGGCCGAUAUCAGAUUAGGUAGUUGGUGAGGUAAAGGCUCACCAAGCCGACGAUCUGUAGCUGGUCUGAGAGGGCGACCAGCCACACUGGGACUGAGACACGGCCCAGACUCCUACGGGAGGCAGCAGGUGGGAAUUUUGGACAAUGGGCGCAAGCCUGAUCCAGCAAUGCCGCGUGCAGGAUGAAGGCCUUCGGGUUGUAAACUGCUUUGUACGGAACGAAACGGUGAGCUCUAAUACAGUUUGCUAAUGACGGUACCGUAAGAAUAAGCACCGGCUAACUACGUG